rnacentral:rRNA from 1 species
GAUGAACGCUGGCGGCGUGCCUAAUACAUGCAGGUCGAGCGAACGGACGAGAAGCUUGCUUCUCUGAUGUUAGCGGCGGACGGGUGAGUAACACGUGGAUAACCUACCUAUAAGACUGGGAUAACUUCGGGAAACCGGAGCUAAUACCGGAUGAUAUUUUGAACCGCAUGGUUCAAAAGUGAAAGACGGUCUUGCUGUCACUUAUAGAUGGAUCCGCGCUGCAUUAGCUAGUUGGUAAAGUAACGGCUUACCAAGGCAACGAUGCAUAGCCGACCUGAGAGGGUGAUCGGCCACACUGGAACUGAGACACGGUCCAGACUCCUACGGGAGGCAGCAGUAGGGAAUCUUCCGCAAUGGGCGAAAGCCUGACGGAGCAACGCCGCGUGAGUGAUGAAGGUCUUCGGAUCGUAAAACUCUGUUAUUAGGGAAGAACAUAUGUGUAAGUAACUGUGCACAUCUUGACGGUACCUAAUCAGAAAGCCACGGCUAACUACGUG